rnacentral:rRNA from 1 species
GAUGAACGCUGACAGAAUGCUUAACACAUGCAAGUCAACUUGAACUUCGGUUUGGGUGGCGUACGGGUGAGUAACGCGUAAAGAACUUGCCUCACAGAUAGAGACAACAUUUGGAAACGAAUGCUAAUACCUGAUAUUAUGAUUAUAUGGCAUCGUAUAAUUAUGAAAGCUAUAUGCGCUGUGAGAGAGCCUUGCGUCCCAUUAGCUAGUUGGAGAGGUAACGGCUCACCAAGGCGAUGAUGGGUAGCCGGCCUGAGAGGGUGAUCGGCCACAAGGGGACUGAGACACGGCCCUUACUCCUACGGGAGGCAGCAGUGGGGAAUAUUGGACAAUGGACCAAGAGUCUGAUCCAGCAAUUCUGUGUGCACGAUGAAGUUUUUCGGAAUGUAAAGUGCUUUCAGUUGGGAAGAAAAAAAUGACGGUACCAACAGAAGAAGUGACGGCUAAAUACGUG